GAGGAUGUAACUCAGUGGUAGAGUGGUUGUCUAGCACACAAGAGGUCCUGGUUUUGAUCCCCAGUGCCAUUU
rnacentral:tRNA from 1 species